GGUUUGAUCAUGGCUCAGAUUGAACGCUGGCGGGAUGCUUUACACAUGCAAGUCGAACGGCAGCACGGACUUCGGUCUUGGUGGCGAGUGGCGAACGGGUGAGUAAUGUAUCGGAACGCCUAGUAGCGGGGGAUAACUACGCGAAAGCGUAGCUAAUACCGCAUACGCCCUUCGGGGAAAGCGGGGGACCUUCGGGCCUCGCAAUUAGAGCGGCUGAUAUCGGAUUAGCUAGUUGGUGGGGUAACGGCUCACCGGCGACGAUCCGUAGCUGGUUUGAGAGGACGACCAGCCACACUGGGACUGAGAUACGGCCCAGACUCCUACGGAGGCAGCAGUGGGGAAUUUUGGACAAUGGGGAAACCCUGAUCCGUCAUCCUGGCGUGUGCGAUGAAGGCCUUCGUUGUAAAGCACUUUUGGCAGGAAGAAACGGCACGGGAUAAUACCCCGUGCAACUGACGGUACCUGCAGAAUAAGCACCGCCAACUACGUGCCAGCAGCCGCGGUAAUACGUAGGGUGCAAGCGUUAAUCGGAAUUACUGGGCGUAGCGUGCGCAGGCGGUUCGGAAAGAAAGAUGAAAUCAGAGCUUAACUUUGGAACUGCAUUUUUAACUACCGAGCUAGAGUGUGUCAGAGGGAGGUGGAAUUCGCGUGUAGCAGUGAAAUGCGUAGAUAUGCGGAGGAACACCGAUGGCGAAGGCAGCCUCCUGGGAUAACACUGACGCUCAUGCACGAAAGCGUGGGGAGCAAACAGGAUUAGAUACCCUGGUAGUCCACGCCCUAAACGAUGUCAACUAGCUGUUGGGGCCUCGCCUGGUAGCGCAGCUAACGCGUGAAGUUGACCGCCUGGGGAGUACGGUCGCAAGAUUAAAACUCAAAGGAAUUGACGGGGACCCGCACAAGCGGUGGAUGAUGUGGAUUAAUUCGAUGCAACGCGAAAAACCUUACCUACUCCUGAUGUCUGGAAUCCCGAAGAGAUUUGGGAGUGCUCACAAGAGAACCGAACACAGGUGCUGCAUGGCUGUCGUCAGCUCGUGUCGUGAGAUGUUGGGUUAAGUCCCGCAACGAGCGCAGCAACCCCUAUUAAGGUUGCUACGAAAGGGCACUCUAAUGAGACUGCCGGUGACAAACCGGAGGAAGGUGGGGAUGACGUCAAGUCCUCAUGGCCCUUUAUGGGUAGGGCUUCACACGUCAUACAAUGGUCGGGACAGAGGGUCGCCAACCCGCGAGGGGGAGCCAAUCCCAGAAACCCGAUCGUAGUCCGGAUCGCAGUCUGCAACCUCGACUGCGUGAAGUCGGAAUCGCUAGUAAUCGCGGAUCAGCAUGUCGCGGCAGUGAAUACGUUCCCGGUCUUGUACACACCUCGCCCGUCACACCAUGGGAGUGGGUUUUACCAGAAGUAGUUAGCCUAACCGUAAGGGAGGGCGAUUACCACGGUAGGAUUCAUGACUGGGGUGAAGUCGCAAUAAGGUAG
rnacentral:rRNA from 1 species